GUCCACGCCGUAAACGAUGGAUACUAGCUGUUGGGUGCAAACUCAGUGGCUAAGCGAAAGUGAUAAGUAUCCCACCUGGGGAGUACGUUCGCAAGAAUGAAACUCAAAGGAAUUGACGGGGGCCCGCACAAGCGGUGGAGCAUGUGGUUUAAUUCGAUGAUACGCGAGGAACCUUACCAAGGCUUAAAUGUAGAUUGACCGGUUUGGAAACAGAUCUUUCGCAAGACAAUUUACAAGGUGCUGCAUGGUUGUCGU
rnacentral:rRNA from 1 species